rnacentral:rRNA from 1 species
UACGAAGGGGGCUAGCGUUGCUCGGAAUGACUGGGCGUAAAGGGCGCGUAGGCGGUUCGUACAGUCAGACGUGAAAUUCCCGGGCUCAACCUGGGAACUGCGUUUGAUACGGCAGGGCUAGAGUUCGGGAGAGGAGAGUAGAAUUCCCAGUGUAGAGGUGAAAUUCGUAGAUAUUGGGAAGAACACCGGUGGCGAAGGCGGCUCUCUGGACCGAUACUGACGCUGAGGCGCGAAAGCGUGGGGAGCAAACAGG